AUUGAACGCUGGCGGCAGGCCUAACACAUGCAAGUCGAGCGGAUGAUGGGAGCUUGCUCCUUGAUUCAGCGGCGGACGGGUGAGCAAUGCCUAGGAAUCUGCCUGGUAGUGGGGGACAACGUUUCGACAGGAACGCUAAUACCGCAUACGUCCUACGGGAGAAAGCAGGGGACCUUCGGGCCUUGCGCUAUCAGAUGAGCCUAGGUCGGAUUAGCUUGUUGGUGAGGUAAUGGCUCACCAAGGUGACGAUCCGUAACUGGUCUGAGAGGAUGAUCAGUCACACUGGAACUGAGACACGGUCCAGACUCCUACGGGAGGCAGCAGUGGGGAAUAUUGGACAAUGGGCGAAAGCCUGAUCCAGCCAUGCCGCGUGUGUGAAGAAGGUCUUCGGAUUGUAAAGCACUUUAAGUUGGGAGGAAGGGUUGUAGAUUAAUACUCUGCAAUUUUGACGUUACCGACAGAAUAAGCACCGGCUAACUCUGUGCCAGCCGCCGCCGUAAAAC
rnacentral:rRNA from 1 species